rnacentral:lncRNA from 1 species
AAUCGAAAGUUGAUUUCGGGUGCGUUUUCCGACGAAAUCCGCCGACGGAACGUGAUUUCGGUUUGAAAUUCUUCCGACGGUGCCUCACGAUAAAUUGUUUAGUCGCUGAGCCUUAUUGGCUGGUCACCCGCAUCAUUUCGAGGGUACGGAAACGACGGGUGAGCAACGGUGAGUUCCGAUGUCGAAUUUGAGAUUUUCGGGAAUCUGGAUCGGAACGAUUGUCUGACGAUAAUCGUUUCGACCUGAGGAGGUGUGUUUGCUG